AUUGAACGCUGGCGGCAUGCUUUACACAUGCAAGUCGAACGAGUGGCGCACGGGUGAGUAAUACAUCGGAACGUGUCCUAUCGUGGGGGAUAACUGAUCGAAAGAACAGCUAAUACCGCAUACGAUUCGAGCGGCCGAUGCCCGAUUAGCUAGUUCGUGAGGUAAAGGCCCACCAAGGCGACGAUCGGUAGCUGGUCUGAGAGGACGACCAGCCACACUGGGACUGAGACACGGCCCAGACUCCUACGGGAGGCAGCAGUAGGGAAUCUUGGACAAUGGGCGCAACCCUGAUCCAGCCAUGCCGCGUGAAGGAUGAAGGUUUUCGGAUCGUAAAAUGCUGUUGUCAGGGAAGCGGUACCUGAAGAAUAAGCACCGGCUAACUACGUGCCAGCAGCCGCGGUAAUUC
rnacentral:rRNA from 1 species